rnacentral:rRNA from 1 species
ACGCCUUAUACAUGCAAGUCGAACGAAGUAGCAAUACUUAGUGGCAGACGGGUGAGUAACAUGUAGGUAUCUUCCCUUUGGUGAGGAAUAACACGAGGAAACUUGUGCUAAUACCUCAUAAGUCUUUACGGAGAAAGCUUUAUGCGCCGAAGGAUGAGCCUGCACUUGAUUAGUUUGUUGGUGGGGUAAUGGCCUACCAAGACUUUGAUCUAUAGCUGAUCUGAGAGGAUGAUCAGCCACAUUGGGACUGAGACACGGCCCAAACUCCUACGGGAGGCAGCAGUAGGGAAUAUUGCACAAUGGAGGAAACUCUGAUGCAGCGAUGCCGCGUGAGUGAAGAAGGCCUUUGGGUUGUAAAGCUCUUUCGUCGGGGAAGAAAAUGACUGUACCCGAAUAAGAAGGUCCGGCUAACUUCGUGCCAGCAGCCGCGGUAAUACGAAGGGACCUAGCGUAGUUCGGAAUUACUGGGCUUAAAGAGUUCGUAGGUGGUUAAAAAAGUUGGUGGUGAAAUCCCAGAGCUUAACUCUGGAACUGCCAUCAAAACUUUUUAGCUAGAGUAUGAUAGAGGAAAGCAGAAUUUCUAGUGUAGAGGUGAAAUUCGUAGAUAUUAGAAAGAAUACCAAUUGCGAAGGCAGCUUUCUGGAUCAUUACUGACGCUGAGGAACGAAAGCAUGGGUAGCGAAGAGGAUUAGAUACCCUCGUAGUCCAUGCCGUAAACGAUGUGUGUUAGACGUUGGAAAUUUAUUUUCAGUGUCGCAGCGAAAGCGUUAAACACACCGCCUGGGGAGUACGACCGC